ensembl:lncRNA
CUUUAUCUCUCAGAGCCUGUUUUCUGGCCAGCUGCAGCCUGAUGUUUACUCAGCUGGGGUGAAUAACUUUCCUUUCUGUGUGUCUGAUGUGCUGCGUGUUGUCAAUACAUGGGCCAAUGGAGAUGUCCUCCCUGCUCCAUCCAUAUCAGCUUCUGACCUGACUUAUCUGUUGGCAGACCAGCAGCACUGAAGUCAGUGUGAAUGCAGGCAUCCAUAGAAACGUGUUCUCAUACAGCAGAGGGACUGAGCUGUCAUUGCCUUGAGAGCACCUGGUGAGGUUUGGUCAGCUUUCCAAGAUGAUAACAUGGAGCCUGAAGACCAAGUGCUGAAGACAGAAGGAACUGCAUCCUUGCUUUGUGAGGCAUAGGGAUUCCAAAGGCCAUGAUUAGAUAGCCUUAAUUUUACCUAAGCUUACUGCUUCUUGUCUUUUUAUUUAUUUGCCAGAAGUAAAAGACAGUGGACUUUUCUGUAUCAUGAAGCUGAAGACUGAACGCAGUUGAACACCAAAGGAAGCAAUGGGAAAUAUUUAUCAUACUUGGGGAGAGGGAUCCAUUUUUGCCAUAUGAAAGCAUACAACAAAAGGUUCUGGCAGCUGGAAACUAGGAGAGAGAGCUGGGAUGGGACUUGCUUGCAUCCCACCGAUGAAGAUGAGCACCCAGUCCUCAGGUCCCUGUGUUUCCCAGCCAUCCCCCUCCCUGACAGAUGUCUGUCCUAGGAUGCUGGCUCCCACUCCUAUAUUUGAGAGGUGACAGAUGACUUGCUUCUCCUCCUUUUGCAAGCCUGGGCUGGGCUGAUCUGAUUGCCCUUUUCAGCUGUAGAAAGAUCCAUGUGGACAGGAAGACAUCAGAGAUAUCUAAGACUUCAAGGGCAUGAGAUAAAUGCAAAUGCAUCACUAAUGACUGCUUUAAAAGAAGGUGGUUCUGAUCUCUGUUCAAGAGUUGAUCUCCACCUUAGCAAUGCUACCUUGGGCUUUGAAAGGAAUCUGACAACAUGUCCUCCCUCUGGAUUUUAUUCCUGACUGUAAAGUGGAACCAGCUUUUAGAAGCGGAGGAUAAAGAUUUGGCUGGGAACAUCUGAGCUGGAGGACCAAUAACUUGGGAGCUGCUCGGAAGUGUUUGAUCUGUCUCAGGCCCGCAAGUGCUGAGCAAACGCCUGCCUUGAAGUGGAAGUUAUUUUAUGCAUCCACUGGAGUCCUCUAAAGCCAUUUCCUCUGGGACCUCUGGGGACACUCUGGGCAUCUAUUUUCUCAGCAAUACCAAUGUGACAUGAGGGAGACCGUCUCACAGCCGCUAGGACAGAAGGUGGAAGAAUGCAAACGCUGAAACAUUUUUCAGUUUGUCCUGAUUAUCUUUCCUCCUCCAGCAGUUUUAUUAGGGUUCAUAAAUUCUUCUUUAAAGCACUCAUUCCCCCAUGCAUUUUAACCCUCGGCAGCCUUGGAGGUCACUGUAACCCUGUGGGGUUGGUGGCUGUCCAGGAGAAGCCACCCUGCCCCAUCACAGCUGGCUCUGACCGAAGAGAAUGGAAAUCACUGCACAAAAAGGGCUCUGAGGCACAUGGAGCCCUUCCACUGGCUCAAGUGUAAUAUAAAUAACAACCUUAAUCAUGCAGUGAAAUUGGUGGGUGAAGAUAUGACUGAGGAAUCUGAUAUUGCUUUCAGAAGAUUUUCAGUGCAUCAGUGCUGCUCUCCCCAGCGUGGCAGGAAAGCAUGGAAAAUUCCUCCAUCACCACUGCUUGGUGCCCUCCUAUAAUGAGUAGUCGUUGAGGGGAUGAUUUGCAUCCAGCACGAUGAACAAUUUUGGCCACAGGAAAAAUAAGCUGAAGUGGAGGGAAGGAGGUUGGAAUGGAAACAGACAGAUUUGAUUGGUUUUCUUUUAACAAAAGAAGCCGUAAGUUAAACACUCUGUUUGUGACAAGAUGUACCAUCUUAUCCCAGGCAGGUUGGAAUUCUUUUUCUUUCCAUCUUUUUCCUUUUUGAUUUUUCCCUUCUCUGUUCAUUCUGUUGGGAAAUGUUUUGUGGAUCAUGGCAUGGGGAGGUUUGGGACUCUCUGUGUUCCUUUCUGAGCUUCAUCAUCGUUAUCACUUUGCCAUUGUUUGUCUUGAUGUAGGAUCAACAACUGUCUCUCUCCUUGGUCAAAUGGUGGAACUGCUUCUUUCCUCUUCCAGUUUUGCCUCCUGGUCAUUAAAGUGGGAAAUAUCUCUCAUUCAUUUGCAUUGGUUUGACCUGUGCUCCUGGUUUGCUUUCCCAGCUAGGGACAUGGUUGUUGCUCCCAGCCAAGUGCCAGGUGUAUGGCAUGUGAUGACACCAAGCCCUGCCAGGUUGCAUGUUUCAAUGCUUGUGUUGUGCCACUUUCAUUAGCGCACUGAUUAACCAUUUCCCCGUGGUCUAAUGAAUUCCACUUGCCCAUCGCUCACUGAGCAUACCCAGAAAUCACAGCAUUGGGCAAUGCUCACUGGGAUACUUAAGGAAGAGGAGGGGAAAAAAAAAUGAAUGUGCGAGUGCUGGAUUGGGCAGGAAUGGGGGGAUGAAGAAAUUCAAACAUUUUUUUUUCUUCUUUCAGUGGUGAGGGCAGACAAGGCUGAUAGCUGCCUCCGUGUGAAACUGGAGCUAUAUCCAGGAAUGGUAUUUAUAUGCACGGAUGUAGCUUUCAAUCAGGAUGAUGUAAACACUGCUGCAGAAUUUUUUGACCAGGCUGUUUGGGAAACGUGAUGGAUUAAAUAUGACAAACAAGAUUCCUGGACGUUUAUUUAUCCGCCUUUUCAUUUGUGCC